rnacentral:rRNA from 1 species
ACUGGAGGGAAGGUGGGGAUGACGUCAAAUCAUCAUGCCCCUUAUGACCUGGGCUACACACGUGCUACAAUGGGAAGUACAACGAGUUGCGAAGUCGCGAGGCUAAGCUAAUCUCUUAAAGCUUCUCUCAGUUCGGAUUGCAGGCUGCAACUCGCCUGCAUGAAGCCGGAAUCGCUAGUAAUCGCGGAUCAGCACGCCGCGGUGAAUACGUUCCCGGGCCUUGUACACACCGCCCGUCACACCACGAGAGUUUGUAACACCCGAAGUCGGUGAGGUAACCUUUUGGAGCCAGCCGCCUAAGGUGGGAUAGAUGAUUGGGGUGAAGUCGUAACAAGGUAGCCGUAUCGGAAGGUGCGGU